AAAUAAUAAUUUAUUGAUUAUUUAAUUAAGUUAUAUAUUUAAUAAAAAUAAUUUUAGUAGUUAAAUUUUAAGUAUAUUUUAUAGAAAAAAUAAUAUUUAUUAUAGUAAAUUAGUAUUGUGAAAGAAUAUUGAAAUAUUAUGAAAAUAAUUUUAUUUAAAAGAAAUAUUUAUUUUAUGUACCUUUUGUAUCAGGGUUUAUUAAAUAAAAUUUAUUUAUAAAUAAAUUUCUCGAAUUUAAAAGAUUUAAUAAAUUAUGAAAAUUAAUGUGGAAUAAUUAUUUUAAAUAAUUUAUUGGUAAUGAAAUGUUAUUCGUUUUUAAAUAUAUCUAGUUUUUUAAGAAAUGAAUUUAAUUCAUAUAUUUUAAAUGUAAAUUAUUAUUUUUAUAAUAAUUUAUUUUUUAAUAUAAAUAUAUUAAGGGAUAAGCUUUAAUUUAAAGUCUAUAAUUUUGUUUAAAUUUAAUAUAAAUGUAGGGUUAGAAAUAUCUAUUAUUAAUAAGUUUGUUUUAAUUUAUAUUUUUAAUGUAUAAUUUAUUAUGUAUUUAGAUUUUUUAUUAAAAUAAGUAUUUUAAUAAAAAAAAUAUUUAAAUAAUGAUAAAAUUAGUAUAAAUUAUUGUUAAUUUUAAUUAAUUAAUAAAGAUUAAAUUAAGGAAUUCGGCAAAUUUAAUACUCACCUGUUUAACAAAAACAUGUCUUUUUGAUAAUAAUUUAAAGUCUAACCUGCCCACUGAAAAUUUUUGAAGGGCCGCGGUAUUUUGACUGUGCAAAGGUAGCAUAAUCAUUAGUCUUUUAAUUGAAGGCUUGUAUGAAUGGUUGGAUGAGGUAUUAACUGUCUCGAUUUAAUAAAUAAUAGAAUUUUAUUUUUAAGUUAAAAAGCUUAAAUAAUUUUAAAAGACGAGAAGACCCUAUAGAUCUUUAUAUUAAAGUUUUUAAUAAUUUUUUAGUUUAAAUUUAUUUUUAAAAAUUGAAGUAUUGAGUUGGGGUGAUUAAAAAAUUUAAUAAACUUUUUUUUGUUUAAACAGUGAUUUUUGAAUAAUUGAUCCAUUUUUUGUGAUUAAAAGAUUAAGUUACCUUAGGGAUAACAGCGUAAUUUUUUUGGAGAGUUCUUAUCGAUAAAAAAGAUUGCGACCUCGAUGUUGAAUUAAAGGUUAAUUUUAGGUGUAGAAGUUUAAAAUUUUGGUCUGUUCGACCAUUGAAUCUUUACAUGAUUUGAGUUCAAACCGGCGUGAGCCAGGUUGGUUUCUAUCUUUAAUUGAAUAAAAUACCUUAGUACGAAAGGACCAGGUAUUUGAAAUAAUUUUUUAAAAUUGAAUAGUAUUAAU
rnacentral:rRNA from 1 species